AGAGGCUGGGCUGCAGGGCUCUCUUGACAGUGGCCUCAGCAGGCCUGGAGGGGAGUUCUGAAGCUCUGGAGACCCUUCAAGGUUUUCCCCAGGGACACCGCUUAUCUCAGUCCUGCAUGCUCAGAAGUUGCAGUCCAAACCCCGGAGCUGGAGAGACUGGUAUCACGCGUGCGUUCACCAGGGGCCCACAGGCAACAUUCAAAUCCAACAGUCUCGUUCUCAAAGAGAACACUGGAGCUAAAGAGACUUUCUUAGAGGAUGGAGCCAAGUUCAAAUCCAGGCCCUCCGUUGACUUGGGAGCUUAGAUUUUAAAAACCAAAAAACAGGCAAACGGUAUCAAGAAUAAGAACCUGACUCGUCAUAAGAAAACUACCAAACAUCUUGCCAGAGGAUGAGGGAGCGCUGGAGUGGAGAAGCCGGAGGCGAGGGCCUGGGCCUGGUCCAGUCGGAUGCUGUGUUACCUCAGACACCUCACGCUCUCUCCCUGGGCCUCAGGUUUUUCAUUUCUAAAACGAAGGUAAUCCAGCUCUAAAAUUGUAAAAUGAAAAUAUAACAAUACCCAAAGAAGAACAGAGCUGGAGUACUUAUACUCCACCAGCUCUGACGUUUAGCCCUUCUCUCAUGGGGCCUCUGUGACAGGCCCAGCCCCUCUGCCCCACCUACCCACCUCUUGAUUACUGGACACCCCUGAUCCCGGCCCGCCUCCAAGACAGGAACCAAA